UCUCCAUUUCCCUCCUUGUUAGAGAGGGUAUCUAACAAGUUUUCAGCCCUUGCCCCAAUCUCAUUUUCUCCCGGAACUCUUUCCAGAGCAUGAAGCACAGGUAAGAUCCUUCCUUCAUCAAUACAUCUCUGUGUGGCCAAAUGCCCCAUUGACAAACCCCUUAGCAUAGACAAUAUAAGCGGAAUGGAAGGACGUUUCAAGGCAAAUGCCCAUUCCACACUAGAUCUGAAACCGGUCUG
rnacentral:misc_RNA from 1 species